rnacentral:rRNA from 1 species
GAUGAACGCUGGCGGCGUGCCUAACACAUGCAAGUCGAGCGAACAGACGAGGAGCUUGUUCCUCUGACGUUGGCGGCGGACGGGUGAGUAACACGUGGAUAACCUCCUUCUAAUACUGGGAUAACUUCGGGAAACCGGAGCUAAUAAUGGAUAAUAUAUUGAACCGCAUGGUUCAAUAGUGAAAGACGGUUUUGCUGUCACUUAUAGAUGGAUCCGCGCGGCAUUAGCUAGUUGGUAGGGUAACGGCUUCCCAAGGCAACGAGGCGUAGCCGAGCUGAGAGGGUGAUCGGCCACACUGGAACUGAGACACGGUCCAGACUCCUACGGGAGGCAGCAGUAGGGAAUCUUCGGCAAUGGGCGAAAGCCUGACGGAGCAACACCGCGUGUGUGAUGAAGGUCUUCGGGUCGUAAAACCCUGUUAUUAGGGAAGAAAAAAUGCUUAAGUGUCUAUGCACGUCUUGACGGUACCUAAUCAGAAAGCCCCGGCUAACUACGUG